rnacentral:rRNA from 1 species
GACGUAGGAGGCGAGCGUUGUCCGGAUUCAUUGGGCGUAAAGAGCGCGCAGGCGGCUUGGUAAGUCGGAUGUGAAAUCCCGAGGCUCAACCUCGGGUCUGCAUCCGAUACUGCCCGGCUAGAGGUAGGUAGGGGAGAUCGGAAUUCCUGGUGUAGCGGUGAAAUGCGCAGAUAUCAGGAGGAACACCGGUGGCGAAGGCGCUGCUCUGGGCCGAAACUGACGCUGAGGAGCGAAAGCGUGGGUAGCAAACAGG